CAGGCCUAACACAUGCAAGUCGGACGGGAUUGGGAGCUUGCUCCCAUGAGAGUGGCGCACGGGUGCGUAACACGUAUGUAACCUACCUUUAUCAGGGGGAUAGCCUGUCGUAAGAGAGAUUAACACCGCAUUACAUGAUUGAGUAGCAUUAUUUAAUCAUCAAAUAUUUAUAGGAUAAAGAUGGGCAUGCGGGACAUUAGCUAGUUGGCGGGGUAACGGCCCACUCAAGGCGACGAUGUCUAGGGGCUCUGAGAGGAGAAUCCCCCACAAUGGUACUGAGACACGGACCAAACUCCUACGGGAGGCAGCAGUAAGGAAUAUUGGUCAAUGGGCGGAAGCCUAAACCAGCCAUGCCGCGUUUCAGGACGACUGCCCUAUGGCUUGUAAACAGCUUUUGUCG
rnacentral:rRNA from 1 species